GUUCCAGUGGCCUAAGUGGUUUAAGCGCAUCUGCCUCAGAUGUGGAAGGUCAUGGGUUCAAACCCCUGAUGAGUCA